CCGGUUAACCCACUCAGAGGGGGAGUAACACUUGGAAACAGGUGCUAAUACCGCAUAACAGUUUAUGCCGCAUGGCAUAAGAGUGAAAGGCGCUUUCGGGUGUCGCUGAUGGAUGGACCCGCGGUGCAUUAGCUAGUUGGUGAGGUAACGGCUCACCAAGGCCACGAUGCAUAGCCGACCUGAGAGGGUGAUCGGCCACACUGGGACUGAGACGCGGCCCAG
rnacentral:rRNA from 1 species